rnacentral:tRNA from 4 species
GCGGGGGUUGCCAAGUGGUCAAAGGCGCAGGGCUUAGGACCCUGUCCUGCAGAGGUUCGUGGGUUCGAAUCCCAUCCCCCGCACCA